AGGAUGAACGCUGGCGGUCUGCUUAACACAUGCAAGUCGAACGGGCGUAGCAAUACGUUAGUGGCGGACGGGUGAGUAACGCGUGAGAAUCUACCUUCAGGACGGAGACAACAGUUGGAAACGACUGCUAACCCCCGAUGUACUGAAAAGGCAAAUAUUUAUAGCCUGAAGAAGAGCUCGCGUCCGAUUAGCUAGUUGGAGAGGUAAAAGCUCACCAAGGCGACGAUCGGUAGCUGGUCUGAGAGGACGAUCAGCCACACUGGGACUGAGACACGGCCCAGACUCCUACGGGAGGCAGCAGUGGGGAAUUUUCCGCAAUGGGCGAAAGCCUGACGGAGCAAGACCGCGUGGGGAAGAAGGCUCUUGGGUUGUAAACCCCUUUUCUCUGGGAAGAAAGUUGUGAAAGCAGCCUGACGGUACCAGAGGAAUCAGCAUCGGCUAACUCCGUGCCAGCAGCCGC
rnacentral:rRNA from 1 species